GACGAACGCUGGCGGCAUGCCUAAUACAUGCAAGUCGAGCGAACAGAUGAAGUGCUUGCACCUCUGACGUUAGCGGCGAACGGGUGAGUAACACGUAAGGAAUCUACCUAUAAGCGGGGGAUAACAUUCGGAAACGGGUGCUGAUACCGCAUAAUAUCUUCUUCCGCAUGGAAGAAGAUUGAAAGACGGCUCUGCUGUCACUUAUAGAUGACCUUGCGGUGCAUUAGUUAGUUGGUGGGGUAACGGCCUACCAAGACGAUGAUGCAUAGCCGACCUGAGAGGGUGAUCGGCCACAUUGGGACUGAGACACGGCCCAAACUCCUACGGGAGGCAGCAGUAGGGAAUCUUCCGCAAUGGGCGAAAGCCUGACGGAGCAAUGCCGCGUGAGUGAAGAAGGCCUUCGGGUCGUAAAACUCUGUUAUAAGAGAAGAACAAAUUGUAGAGUAACUGCUACAGUCUUGACGGUAUCUUAUCAGAAAGCCACGGCUAACUACGUGCCAGCCGCCGCGGUAA
rnacentral:rRNA from 1 species